UUUGUGGAGAGUUUGAUCCUGGCUCAGGACGAACGCUGGCGGCGUGCUUAACACAUGCAAGUCGAACGGAAAGGCCAGUGCUUGCACUGGUGCUCGAGUGGCGAACGGGUGAGUAACACGUGGGUGAUCUGCCUUGCACUCUGGGAUAAGCUUGGGAAACUGGGUCUAAUACCGGAUAUGAACUGCCUUUAGUGUGGUGGUUGGAAAGUUUUUUCGGUG
rnacentral:rRNA from 1 species